rnacentral:tRNA from 2 species
UGGGGUGUAGCUCAGUGGUAGAGCACUUGCCUGGCAUGUAUGAGGCACUGGGUUUGAUUCUCAGCACCACAU